CGGGGUGAGUAACGCGUGGAUAACCUGCCUUACACUGGGGGAUAACACUUAGAAAUAGGUGCUAAUACCGCAUAAGCGCACAGAGCCGCAUGGCUCAGUGUGAAAAACUCCGGUGGUGUAAGAUGGAUCCGCGUCUGAUUAGCUGGUUGGCGGGGUAGAAGCCCACCAAGGCGACAAUCAGUAGCCGGCCUGAGAGGGUGAACGGCCACAUUGGGACUGAGACACGGCCCAAACUCCUACGGAAGGCAGCAG
rnacentral:rRNA from 1 species